rnacentral:ncRNA from 1 species
ACUGACUGGCUCAGCGUGUGCCUACCCUACGAAGGCAGGCGCAGGUAACCCGUUGAACCCCAUUUGUGAUAGGGAUUGGGGAUUGCAAUUAUUCCCCAUGAAC